UUGAUUUGGCAGCACUUAUACUAAAUCUAGAAUGUAUAGGGAAGAUCAGCAUGGCCCCUAUGGAGGGAUGCCAUGCAGAUUCAUGAAACAUUCCUGGCCUCC
rnacentral:snRNA from 1 species